rnacentral:rRNA from 1 species
GACGAACGCUGGCGGCGUGCCUAAUACAUGCAAGUCGAACGCUUCUUUCCUCCCGAUUGCUUGCACUCAAUUGGAAAGAGGAGUUGCGUACGGGUGAGGAACACGUGGGUAACCUACCCAUCAGAGGGGGAUAACACUUGGAAACAGGUGCUAAUAUCGCAUAACAGUUUAUGCCGCAUUGCAUAAGAGUGAUAGGCGCUUUCGGGUGUCGCUGAUGUAUGUACUCGCUGUGCAUUAGCUAGUUGGUGAGGUAACGGCUCACCAAGGCCACGAUGCAUAGCCGACCUGAGAGGGUGAUCGGCCACACUGGGACUGAGACACGGCCCAGACUCCUACGGGAGGCAGCAGUAGGGAAUCUUCGGCAAUGGACGAAAGUCUGACCGAGCAACGCCGCGUGAGUGAAGAAGGUUUUCGGAUCGUAAAACUCUGUUGUUAGAGAAGAACAAGGGCGUUAGUAACUGAACAUACCCUGACGGUACCUAACCAGAAAGCCACGGCUAACUACGUG